rnacentral:rRNA from 1 species
GAUGAACGCUGGCGGCGUGCCUAACACAUGCAAGUCGAACGAAGCAAUUAAAUGAAGUUUUCGGAUGGAAUUUAAUUGACUGAGUGGCGGACGGGUGAGUAACGCGUGGAUAACCUGCCUCACACUGGGGGAUAACAGUUAGAAAUGACUGCUAAUACCGCAUAAGCGCACGCUACCGCAUGGUAGUGUGUGAGAAACUCCGGUGGUGUGAGAUGGAUCCGCGUCUGAUUAGCCAGUUGGCGGGGUAACGGCCCACCAAAGCGACGAUCAGUAGCCGACCCGAGAGGGUGACCGGCCACAUUGGGACUGAGACACGGCCCAAACUCCUACGGGAGGCAGCAGUGGGGAAUAUUGCACAAUGGGCGAAAGCCUGAUGCAGCGACGCCGCGUGAGUGAAGAAGUAUUUCGGUAUGUAAAGCUCUAUCAGCAGGGAAGAAAAUGACGGUACCUGACUAAGAAGCCCCGGCUAACUACGUGCCAGCAGCCGCGGUAAUACGUAGGGGGCAAGCGUUAUCCGGAUUUACUGGGUGUAAAGGGAGCGUAGACGGCGAAGCAAGUCUGAAGUGAAAACCCAGGGCUCAACCCUGGGACUGCUUUGGAAACUGUUUUGCUAGAGUGUCGGAGAGGUAAGUGGAAUUCCUAGUGUAGCGGUGAAAUGCGUAGAUAUUAGGAGGAACACCAGUGGCGAAGGCGGCCUACUGGGCACCAACUGACGCUGAGGCUCGAAAGUGUGGGUAGCAAACAGG